rnacentral:rRNA from 1 species
GACGAACGCUGGCGGCGUGCUUAACACAUGCAAGUCGAACGAUGAAGCCGGAGCUUGCUCUGGUGAAUUAGUGGCGAACGGGUGAGUAACACGUGAGUAACCUGCCCUUGACUCUGGGAUAACUGCGGGAAACUGUAGCUAAUACCGGAUACGACCCUCGGAGGCAUCUCCUGGGGGUGGAAAGAAUUUCGGUCAAGGAUGGACUCGCGGCCUAUCAGCGAGUUGGUGAGGUAAAGGCUCACCAAGGCGACGACGGGUAGCCGGCCUGAGAGGGUGACCUGCCACACUGGGACUGGGACACUGCACAGACGCCUACGGGAGGCAGCAGUGGGGAAUAUUGCACAAUGGGCGCAAGCCUGAUGCAGCAACGCCGCGUGAGGGAUGACGGCCUUCGGGUUGUAAACCUCUUUUAGCAGGGAAGAAGCGAAAGUGACGGUACCUGCAGAAAAAGCACCGGCUAACUACGUGCCAGCCGCCGCGGUAA